GACGAACGCUGGCGGCGUGCCUAAUACAUGCAAGUCGAACGAACCGCGACUGAGUGCUUGCACUUGGUCAAGGUGAGUGGCGAACGGGUGAGUAACACGUGGGUAACCUACCUCAUAGUGGGGGAUAACAGUCGGAAACGACUGCUAAUACCGCAUAGGACAUGGAAUCACAUGAUUCUAUGAGGAAAGGUGGCGCAAGCUAUCGCUAAGAGAUGGACCCGCGGUGCAUUAGCUAGUUGGUAGGGUAAGGGCCUACCAAGGCGAUGAUGCAUAGCCGACCUGAGAGGGUGAUCGGCCACAUUGGGACUGAGACACGGCCCAAACUCCUACGGGAGGCAGCAGUAGGGAAUCUUCCGCAAUGGACGCAAGUCUGACGGAGCAACGCCGCGUGAGUGAAGAAGGUCUUCGGAUCGUAAAGCUCUGUUGUUAGAGAAGAACAGCGCAUAGAGUAACUGUUAUGCGUGUGACGGUAUCUAACCAGAAAGCCACGGCUAACUACGUG
rnacentral:rRNA from 1 species